rnacentral:sRNA from 1 species
UGUCGUCCUGUCAGAGGUUGCACGCCA